UGCGCAGGCGGUUCCAUAAGACAGAUGUGAAAUCCCCGGGCUCAACCUGGGAACUGCAUUUGUGACUGUGGAGCUAGAGUACGGUAGAGGGGGAUGGAAUUCCGCGUGUAGCAGUGAAAUGCGUAGAUAUGCGGAGGAACACCGAUGGCGAAGGCAAUCCCCUGGGCCUGUACUGACGCUCAUGCACGAAAGGCUGGGAGCAAACA
rnacentral:rRNA from 1 species